UACGCUGGGGCAGCCUACCAUGCNAGUCGAGCGGUUGACGGGAGCUUGCUCCCUGAUUCAGCGGCGGACGGGCGAGUAAUGCCUAGGAAUCUGCCUAUUAGUGGGGGACAACGUUUCGAAAGGAACGCUAAUACCGCAUACGUCCUACGGGAGAAAGCAGGGGACCUUCGGGCCUUGCGCUAAUAGAUGAGCCUAGGUCGGAUUAGCUAGUUGGUGGGGUAAUGGCUCACCAAGGCGACGAUCCGUAACUGGUCUGAGAGGAUGAUCAGUCACACUGGAACUGAGACACGGUCCAGACUCCUACGGGAGGCAGCAGUGGGGAAUAUUGGACAAUGGGCGAAAGCCUGAUCCAGCCAUGCCGCGUGUGUGAAGAAGGUCUUCGGAUUGUAAAGCACUUUAAGUUGGGAGGAAGGGCAGUAAAUUAAUACUUUGCUGUUUUGACGUUACCGACAGAAUAAGCACCGGCUAACUCUGUGCCAGCAGCCGCGGUAAU
rnacentral:rRNA from 1 species